UUUAUGGAGAGUUUGAUCCUGGCUCAGGAUGAACGCUGGCGGCGUGCCUAAUACAUGCAAGUCGAGCGAACAGAUGAGGAGCUU
rnacentral:rRNA from 1 species